UACGAGUGCCCCGAGCGUUAUCCGGAAUCAUUGGGCGUAAAGGGCGUGUAGGUGGCAGGGUUAGUCGGUUGUUAAAACCUGGGGCUCAACCCCAGAUCCGCGACCGAAACGGCACAGCUAGAGGAUGGCAGGGAUGUAUGGAACUCAUGGAGUAGGGGUGAAAUCCGUUGAUAUCAUGGGGAACACCAAAAGCGAAGGCAGUACAUUGGGCCACUCCUGACACUGAAACACGAAAGCGUGGGUAGCGAAUGGG
rnacentral:rRNA from 1 species